rnacentral:rRNA from 1 species
AUGUCAGCCCAAAACUUUGUAUGCUUCCCUUGGGCCGGGGGCCCGGAAGAAGAGAGUGACGAGCCUCCGUCGUCAAACCAGCCGUGCUCGAGUCGUGCACAGACUCUUCUCAAAAAGAAAAAUAAAAAGAAAAGGAAAAAGAAAAAGAAAAAGAAAAAGAAAAAAGAGUCGUGCACACAGACGCUGAGACGCAUCAUCCUUCUCCCCCACUCAUCCCCAACGACGACGGCGAGCCAUGUCCGCCUCACCCGCCUCGUCGCCCCAGCCGCCGGAGGCCAUCCGCGGAACCCUCAUUCCCGUUCUGCCCGACGACCUGGCGGUCCAGUGCAUCGCGCUCCUCCCGCGCGCCGCGCACCCAACCCUCGCCCUCGUCUCCCGCGCUCUGCACGCCCUCCUCUGCCUCCACCCGGAGCCCCUCCUGGCCGCCCGGUGCCGCCUCCGCCGCUCCGACCCCCACAUCGUCAUCUCGGUCCGGCCGCCCUACUCCGCGUCCCCUCGCUUCUUCCUGCUGCUGCCGCAUCCCGGGUGGCCCCCUCUGCCUCUCCCCUCCCCUCCGAUCCCCGUCUCCUCCUCCUCGGCCGUCGCGUCAACGGGCACCGGCUCUACCUCGUCGGCGGGUCCGUGGCCGGGAUCCCCGCUUCGUCGGUGCAAAUCCUGGACACCCGCACCAGAUCCUGGUCCAUCGGCCCGCGCCUCUCCUCCCCGCGGGAGUUCGCUGCCGCCGCGGUCCUCUCCGGCGUGCUCUUCGUCGCCGGGGGCUGUGUUCCGUCGUCCCCCUUCUGGGCCGAGGCUCUCGACCUUGCCUCCCCACACGCCAGGUGGUCCACGGUCCCCAGCCCGGACCACCUCCGGGAGAAGUGGAUGCACGGCUGCGUGUCGCUCGCCGGGAAGGUCCUUGCGGUGGCCGACCGCGGAGGCUUGGUCUACAACCCGGCGGCGCCACCUGGCGAGGCGUGGGCGCCGGUCUCCCCGGUCCUUGACAUGGGGUGGAAGGGCCGUGCUGCUGUGGUCGGUGGAAUCCUCUACUCUUACGAUUACAUGGGGCAGGUCAAGGGCUAUGAUCCAGACACUGAUUCCUGGAACACGGUGGAAGGAUUGGAGAAGGAGCUGCCGAGGUUCCUUUGUGGUGCCACGCUUGCCAAUGUCGGCGGACUGCUCUACCUGAUCUGGGAGGGGAAGUGGAAAGGGAAAGCUAGCAAGGGAGAAGGCAAAGUGAAGGACAUGUUGGUGAUUGAAUGGGCUACCAUUGAGGUGACGAGGGCCGAAGAGGGGCGGUUAAGUGGGAAGGUAAUAUCCAGGGAUACUGCUGUGUUCACAGACAUGCCGAGGGGUUCUGCGAUCACACAUUGCAUUUCGUUGGAUCUAUGA